rnacentral:snRNA from 1 species
AGCUUUGCGCAGUGGCAGUAUCAUAGUCAAUGAUGUUUAUCCGAGGCACGAUUAUUACUAAUUGAAAACUUUUCCCAAUACCCCACCAUGACCACCUGAAAUAUAGUCGGCAUUGGCAAUUUUUGAUAGUCUCCACAGAGA